rnacentral:lncRNA from 1 species
AUGCAUUCUCCUAGGUCCCAGCCUGUCUCUUCCUAUCUGGAAGCUUCCUUGCAUCCCAGCCUCACCAACCAAGUCUCCGAGUCCCGGUUGAGAAGCCUCAUUUGGGUGGCGAUAAGAAAAUCAGACCUACAAUCAAACAAAAACCCUUUGCCUUCUGAGAAGUUUCAGGCAGGAGCAGAGAAUCAUCCUGACAAACAUCAGUUAUUACUGUUGGGAAGAAGUUCCGAGGGACUGAGAAAUCAAAAUUUCUGCCUUUAAAGAAACACACACAAUGGCACAGAAAAUCAAGCUUUAACUUGCUACAAAAUGCUGAGUAGGGGAGAAUAAAAGAAAAGCGAAAGUGGAGAGGCUGAAUCACAGGCUCAGAUGCCUUAGCAAGGACAGAAUGAUGUCUAAGGUCUUGAGGAAUCGGUGACUUCAAAGGUUCCGCAAUGCCCAAGCUAUGGAGGCAGUGCUUUGAGAGAAGGCUUCUGUCUGGGACGUGCAAUGAGGCAUCUCCAAAUGAAGUGUUCAGGCCCAGCCCCUAACUCUCCUCUUGUCUUUU